CUUAGGUUAGUUACGUUUAAGUAGUUCUAAGUUAUAGGAGACUGAUGACCUGCGAUGUUAAGUCCCAUAGUGCUCAGAGCCAUUUGAACCAUUUUUGAACUAUUGAGGAAUCCCUGAGGGGUAGUGUGUGUACAGGGCAUCGGAAGUGUACGCGGCAACAAGUUGCCUGCUGAAAGUGUUGCAGAUAAACCUGCAGCGCAGUAAGGAUGCACCUAGCGCCUUGAGUCGCCUUAUGAGAAGACACGAGUUGGACUUGACCCUGAUCCAGGAUACCUAUUUAUAUAAAGAGGCUGUACUAGGUCUCGGAGCAACUGGAGGGAUUUAAUAACCAUCAGCACGAAAUAGAGUGAGGAAGGAAGCACGAGGAAAAAUUUAUUGGUGUCGGCUUACCUUUCAAAAGGACAGUGUUCCUCGCUCCCAGGAAGUUAGGAGACUGAUAGACGGCUGCUUGCAGUUGAAUGAACAACAUUUGGUUGGUUGUGAUGCUAAUUCCCACAAGGGGUGUGGGGGAGCAGCGACACCAACAGCAGUGUUGAUGCCUCGCAGGAGCCGGUGGCGGUGUUCGCGCAUGAUGCAUGGGUGCCUCCAGAUAAGGAGCUUCUCACCAUCCUGGGACCCACGCUGAUACGGAGACAGCGAGAAAGAAGCCUGUGAAACUGGUGGCGAAAUGACGGCGCGUCAGAAUACGUCUGUACCAACAACGUCGCUCCCACGUCGCUUGUCAGAAUUACUUGUCUGAAGCAUUAACUGCUCGUAACGCUCAAGCACUGCCUGACCUUCCUCAGGCCUACGACACGCCCCUCUUCUUCAUAACGACAGUAAUCAUCUGUAAUUGCUGAAAGAGAAUUAUAAACACUGAAAUAUCACCGUUUUGGAUCCUCUGCUACGCUAUACAGACUUGCUCACCGCUUGAAAAACCCAUUACACACUAAAUCAAUGUACAAAUAAAUUCACUGAAAUUUCCUGACAGAUCAAAUCUGUGUGCCAGGCUAGAACUCGAACUCAGAACCCAA